UGCGCAGGCGGGAGGAUAGGUCGGAUGUGAAAACCCCGGGCUCAACCCGGGGCCUGCAUCCGAAACCAUUCUUCUUGAGUAUCGGAGAGGGAAGCGGAACUCCAGAUGUAGCGGUGAAAUGCGUAGAUAUCGGGAGGAACAUCAGUGGCGAAGGCGGCCACCUGGACAUUUACUGACGCUGAGACGCGAAAGCGUGGGGAGCAAACA
rnacentral:rRNA from 1 species